rnacentral:rRNA from 1 species
GAUGAAUGCUGGCGGCGUGCCUAACACAUGCAAGUCGAGCGGCAGCGCGAGUAGUUUACUACUUGGCGGCGAGCGGCGGACGGCUGAGUAACGCGUGGGAACGUGCCCCAAAGUGAGGAAUAACUGCCCGAAAGGGUGGCUAAUGCCGCAUAUGAUCUUCGGAUUAAAGGAUUUAUCCGCUUUGGGAGCGGCCCGCGUUAGAUUAGGUAGUUGGUGAGGUAAUGGCUCACCAAGCCGACGAUCUAUAGCUGGUCUGAGAGGAUGAUCAGCCAGACUGGAACUGAGACACGGUCCAGACUCCUACGGGAGGCAGCAGUGAGGAAUCUUCCACAAUGGGCGAAAGCCUGAUGGAGCAACGCCGCGUGCAGGAUGAAGGCCCUAGGGUCGUAAACUGCUUUUAUAAGUGAAGAAUAUGACGGUAACUUAUGAAUAAGCACCGGCUAACUACGUGCCAGCCGCCGCAUAA